UUGUAAUGAGCAAAUUUAAUUUAACUGUCCUCUGACAGUUUAUUAAAAAGUUUGUGCUGUGUUGGUGAAAUCCCAGAUUAAACCAUGGUGAAAUCUUGGCUGAACCGCUGCUAAACUCUGGUGAAAAUUUGCAAAACAUUAGCGAAAUGAAACUUCAAGUGAAACUUCAGUGAACCUUGCUGAACAUUUGUAAAAACCCAGCUAGCCUUGGUGAGAUCCCAUUGAAAUGCUAGUUAAAUUGGCAAAAUCAUCUGAAGCCCAAAAUGCAUUGAACAGAGAAUCCUAAUCGUAUCCUCCAUCAAAUCCUAUGGUACAAGGGUAUGUAUGCAGCUUCUCUGAAAUCAUGGCAUAAAGUAGGAAAACCAACCCAAUUCAAAACUGUUUCCGUACAGGCAACCCCCGAUUUGUGAGGGGGUUGCAUUCCGGGUCAUUGUGCAUGCUGAUUGAGCCUAUUAUGUCCUCUUUCUGGUCCAAAAGUGUCAUAUGUGCAGGGUCAUGCGUGCUUUGAACAUGCGCAAAAUGGGAGUUGCCUGUAAUCAGCUUGUUGCCCAUCCCAUGAUUGCAAAUAGGAUCUUUUUGUUUUUGGUUGGCUGUUAAUUGCUAGGGUUAAAUCAGCUUGGAGAAUUUUGAUUCAUUUUGUUAUGUAAUAGGGUUGGGAGAAGGCCAGAGGUUCUUGGAUUACCAAGCCUCUUUACGUUGGUUGCUUGUGAGUAGCGUAGUAUGGGUCCUUCUUGGCGUGAAUCAACAUUUAAACGGCAGUUUUUACAGUUGCCUGGAACUGAAUCCAUUUGAGCUCAGUGGGGAUUAUUUCUGAGUAGAAAUGCAUGUGAAUUGUGCUUUCAAUGUGAACGAGAUGUAGUAAGUGACUCACAUAUCAGCUAGUUAUUUUGGUUAAUACUAAGCAUCUUAAUAUAUAUAUAUAUCUAAUCUUUGCAACAUUUGGCCACAAGAUGGCAGAAAAUCCAUGUGUAUUAAACUUAAGAGUUGUGCCAUUACACCAAGAAGCCGUUUUAUGACAGCAUAAGAAUUGCUCAGCGACAAUACAGCAGAUUGUCUGUAUUAGUAUGUGUACCUUUCUACCGAAGUGGUUGAUCUCAAGCAGGUACCACAUAAUUUCUGCAGCUAGUUUUGCAGUGCACUGUUCAGAGGUCAGAAAAUUUGGUACAGCUAAUAUGUUGAAAAUCUCUAUUUCCAUGACCAGUAUUUAAAAUAAGCCGCACAAUUGGAAAUCAAGAACUUGCUGUUGAGGCUCUUGCCAAAUGAACAAACCUGAUUCCUGAACAAAAUUUGGCAGGCCGACUCCAGACAGCAGGAGCUUUAUUAUCCUAGAGCAGACAUCCUUUGGUACAUUUUCCUUCUGCAAACCAGAUGAUUGUGCCAGAUCAUCCCUGUUUGCCAAUGAGCAAUACUUAAUAACGACAUUAUCACAUAACGGCAUUAUCACUCAUUUAGGAGCCGAUGUCUUCAUCCUGUGGUUGGUUAGGAAUGAGGGAUAUGAAUGCCAGGGACAAGAUUGUCAGGUUCCUUUUGCACCAAACAGCUUCAGAAAUUCUGGAUCAGGAUAAAUAAAAUUUUGUGCCAAGAAAGUUUCAGCCUGUCUGCCCAACCCAGCACCCUGAUGGGGACGCCAGCCACUCCCUCCUCAUUCAUCAAAUGAUUGAUCUGAUGAACAAGGAGAGGCCAGUCUGCACCCCCAUCAGCUAUGGGAAGAGAGUUGCCUCUUCCACUCUGCUCAUCAUAUAUUUUCCCAGUGGGUUGGCCAAGGGUGAAUACAGCCUUCUGUCCAAAAUAAAGUUACCCAUGCUUGCUGUAGCCUAAAUCAAGCUUAUUUGCCCGUAUUUGGUGCUCUUUCAUGACGCUGCUUCUCCUCAUAGGUUUGAAAUUUACCUCUGCAACCUUAAAGGAUUGAAGUUUAGUUGCUGUUAUUUUUUUCUAAUGGAAGCCAGUGUUGCAUUCUGAACCCUGUACCAAUUUUCUCCUUCAUAAUGCCCUGCACACACGCAUCUAUAUGUUCUGCGUAAACAUCUUAAUAUCUUAAUAUCUGUAAUAAUUUCAUAGGUUUGGGGGUUCAAUAGGAAAUCUUUGCCUUGAGGGCUGACUCUCUAGCACUACCUGGUACUGAACAGAAGUGAAUUGAGAUGAGAGAAGCCCAUUGGAAUAUUUGGCAGCUUCUGUAUUAAGGAGGCUUGUGGAGACAAAUCCAGAGGCAGCAGGAAAAAGGUUUCCUCUUUGUGGGCAGAUAGAUUUUUUUUCAGGGAUCUGGAUAAAAAUGAAUUGCUUAUAUAUGCAUCCCCAUUUUAAAAAUUAUCUUUAAUCAUAGUUUAGUUACAAUACUUAACAGAGGUGGACAUACGCCAUUAGAGCUAAACCUCUGAAACGUAAGUUAGGAUGACACUAACCUUGUAAUGUUAAAUUUAACUCCUCCCUGCAAGCUGGAUGCUUUGAUUGUGUGCAUAUUAACAUAAUACGUACAUUACAAAUUUUAGACAAAGUAGCUGAGGUAUGAAAUUGGUUAGAUGAAUAUAAAAUAAUUUUAUGGCUAGAAUGCUCAUUAAACUCAACAAUUGGACUUGCCUUCUAUGAUUUUGAAAUCCUGUGGAGAGCUGUAUCCUGUUUCCUCAAGUGUGUCUUACAAUCUUUCAUUUGCUUUCAUGCUUUGUAUAAAGACAGUUGAACACCAUGGCGAGAUAGCAGAUAAAAUGUCGUCCUUUUUAGCGCUUUAUGAGUUGUUUCCAGGGUGGAUAAAAAUCAAUGAUUUUUUUUAAAAAAUCAAAAAAAUCGGAUUUUUUUGAUUUAAAUCGGAUUUUUUUGAUUUAAAUCGAUUUUUUUGAUUUAAAUAGGAUUUUUUUAAAUAAAAUGCUUUUUGAGGGAAAUAUAUUACCAUCCAAAGGUUAUUCCAUCAUGAAAUAAAGAUUAGUUUUUUAUUUAUGUAGAAUAAGUUUGUAUAUGUUUAAUUUUGGGGGUAAAUAAAUUCCAUUAAUCCAUUCACAAUGUCAUGCUCUUCCAGAGGUUUUUGUAAGAUUAUUGGGCAGUUUCUCUGCCUACAAGAUAUUAUCACAGGUGCUUGGUUUACUUUUGUAGUUCUCAAAACUGAAUUUGACUCAACAGAGAUCACAUGCCUCUUCUUCACAGCAAAAAUGUUAUAACACGAAUAGAGUUGAGAAAAAUACCUUAAUCCUAUUGUUCUACAAACCUAUGAAUACAGAAACAACCCCUUCAGGGCUAAGUUUCAAGAAGUUCAGUGAAUAGAAUAGAAACAAUAUUUUUCUGAUUGUUUGGAGUGGACAGUAUUUAAGUUUUUCAUGUGUAGGCUGGGCUGACAGUCUAAGUUUCUUAAAAUACAUAUAUUUUGUUUUUGUUUAGCCAAAUUAGUUAACAAACAUGGAUGUUUGUUUAAGCAUAUAACAUAUGUUGUAAUGUUAUUGUUUCAGUUGAAUAAAUCUAUUUAAAUUGUUAUUAUUAAGGUAAUGAUUAUUUUUCUCCUUCCUAAGUACAACAGUAAAGUUGUCCAAAUAUGAAUGAUUAACCUAUUAAACUGGGGAUAAAAAACUAAUAUGAAAAGUUGUUAUUCUAAAAAUCUUCAUCUACUUGCAUAUUAAAGUUAUACCAGCAAGAAUUAGUCUUUAUGUAGAAACAAUGAUUUAAAUCAAGCCUUACUGACUAGUGAUUUAAAUCGUGAUUUAAAUCAUGAUUUAAAUCAGUUUGAUUUAAAUCAAAUCCACCCUGGUUGUUUCCCCAUCCUUUGAAAUAGAAAGCAAUGUGUCAAAUUUUGGUGAGAACGUGUAGAAAUAGCUAAACCAGCACCACUCCAUCCCACCCCAAAAUGUGGGUUCAGUAAUCUUUUUAUCAUUUUUGUGCAGAUUGUGUAAUACGCAAGGCUGUUUUGAAGAUUUGCCCUCUUAAGUCUGGGAGUUUGGCUGCACAUUGCGGUUUUGCAGGUUGCAUCCUUGCCUUGCUCUUAUUUCUUAAUGAUCCAGUGGGUUCAUGUCUGAAAAUACCUUCCCCCCUUUUCUGUCAGAGACUAGAUUACUUUUAAAAUUGAUGAUCAGUAGUGUGGUUGUAGUAUUAAUCUCAGCAAUUAUAAAUACAUUGCUGUGCAGCAGCAUUGAUGAACACUGUAAGUAGAGUUAGGAUCUGCUGCUUUGUGGGGCAAAUUCAUACAUGUAAUUCCUUCUGUGCGCAGUUCCCCUAUCGUCCACAUGUUUUCUCUGUAUGUUUCUGCAGUUGCCUUACUGGGGAGCUCUUUCAUCCUAUUGAUGUCUUUCAACGAACUUGCUCUCCAGAUUCUUCCCCUGAUAGCAGUGACAUCAACCAAAGAAACUUCACAGUUAGGGUCUCUGUUGGUGAUGUUUUGUAUCUUUCACAAGCACAGAUGUUCUCAGGGGUGUUUGGGGGCUGUCUUUUUCUUUCUCGUUCUUCAGCAAGGUUCCACUUUGGAAAAACAGUGGUGGAGAUUCUGGGGAAAUGGACAAGGAAUGCAUCACUUUUUGGCACUGUAGCUCAGCAGUAAACCACUUGCUUUGCAUUAAGAUGGUCUGGGGUUUGAUCCCCAACAUCUACUGGUGACAGGGCCGGCUCUAGGUAGACCCCCGGGCGCGCGACCUGCUCGAGACUGCCCUGACUGGUGAUAGUCCUGUAGGAAACCUUGGAUGAGCCAGUGGUCUGGCUUGGUAUAAGGUUAAUACAGUGUACUUUCCAAGUUUUCAAAGCAUUUAACAUAACUUUUAUCUCAGCAAUCCUUAAAACUGCCCUGCAAAGCAGAUCCCUUAUUAAUCUUUAGGGGGUGAGCUGUGUGAAAUAAACCACAGAGUUCUUGACUGAACCAAGGUUUGAACUUGAGACUCGUAGCUCCAGCUCUUGUCACCUUAAUUCAGCAUAUCUCUGUAGGUUGCCGGCUUGGUCAGACACCUCCAACUAGGUGGUUCUUCUCAUUGGAAGGCAGGAGUUAGGCUGACAUUUCAGAAGAGGAUGUUUUCCUUUCCUUUCCUUUGGAUUGCUCCCCCACACUGAGGGGGAAAGUAAAAUCAACAUUUGUAGGUUUUUGUUUUUGUUUUUAGGAUAUAUGGUUUAUUUAUGCAUGCAUACUGCCUGAGUCCAUGAUGGAGGGAUUAGUUGAAUUUUCUUCUCAGACUUAGUGGAGUUAUUUUGUUCUGCCUUUGAUAAAAACAAGAACUUGCCACAUGGUAGGAGAAAUAUUGGUAUAGCUUUGGUGAGUUGUGUAUUGGGCUAGCCAGAGAUGUUUGCUUGUCCUCAAAACAAUGUUGUCUGUAACACUCAGUUUCUGUUCUGUUUACUCUUCUUGGGUGCAGUUAAAACUGAUUUCUGAUUGAGAAAAAUUGGCAUAUUCCUAUAGUUGUGUCCCCAACUGGGCAGGCACUGCUUACCCCGUAAGUGAUAUAAUUACAUUAACUGGACUAGCCCUAUAUCAUUGGGGAAGAGCAUUACAUUCUGGGCAGCCCUUUUAAACUUGAGAAGAAAGGUAAUUAUCAGCACUACUGCCUGAAUAUGCAAGGCCUGCUUCACAAAAUAAGCAAACAAUGAAAUGUGGGGGCAUGAGAGUAUUGAUAUGAAAUGCUUCUUUUUAUAAACAUAAAAGGUAUACUAACUGAAAUGUAUUAUUGUUUGU